UACGGGGGGGGCAAGCGUUGUUCGGAAUUAUUGGGCGUAAAGGGUUCGUAGGUGGCCGGCUAAGUCAGACGUGAAAUCCCUCAGCUUAACCGGGGAACUGCGUCUGAAACUGAUCGGCUUGAGUGCAGGAGAGGAACGCGGAAUUCCAGGUGUAGCGGUGAAAUGCGUAGAUAUCUGGAGGAACACCGGUGGCGAAGGCGACAUCCUGGACCGGUAUUGACGCUGAGGCGCGAAAGCCAGGGGAGCAAACGGG
rnacentral:rRNA from 1 species